rnacentral:rRNA from 1 species
UGCAUGCAAGUCGAACGGGAUCCUUUGGAUUCGUCUGAAGGUGAGAGUGGCGGACGGGUGAGUAACACGUAGGUGACCUGCCUCGAAGAGGGGGACAACCACUGGAAACGGUGGCUAAUACCCCGGAUGUCAUUGCACUUAGAAAGCAAUGUCUGAAGCUCCGGCGCUUCGAGAGGGGCCUGCGGCCCAUCAGCUUGUUGGUAGGGUAAUGGCCUACCAAGGCAAAGACGGGUAGGGGGCGUGAGAGCGUGACCCCCCACACUGGUACUGAGACACGGACCAGAUACCUGCGGGUAGCAGCAGCAAGGAAUAUUGCCCAAUGGACGAAAGUCUGAGGCAGCAACACCGCGUGGAGGAUGAAGGCCUUCGGGUUGUAAACUCCUUUUCUGGGGGAUGAGAAAGGACAGUACCCCAGGAAUAAGUCUCGGCUAACUACGUGCCAGCAGCCGCGGUAAAACGUAGGAGGCGAGCGUUAUCCGGAUUUACUGGGCGUAAAGCGCAUGCAGGCGGACGCUUAAGUCGGACGUGAAAGCUCCUGGCUCAACUAGGAGAGGCCGUUCGAAACUAGGUGUCUUGAGGAUGGUAGAGGAGAGUGGAAUUCCCGGUGUAGUGGUGAAAUGCGUAGAUAUCGGGAGGAACACCAGUGGCGAAGGCGGCUCUCUGGGCCAUUCCUGACGCUCAGAUGCGAAAGCUAGGGGAGAGAACGGGAUUAGAAACCCCGGUAUUCCUAGCCGUAAACGAUGUCAACUAGGCGUAGGAGGUCAUUGACCCCUUCUGUGCUGUAGCUAACGCGUUAAGUUGACCGCCUGGGGACUACGGCCGCAAGGCUAAAACUCAAAGGAAUUGACGGGGACCCGCACAAGCAGCGGAGCGUGUGGUUUAAUUCGAGGCUACGCGAAGAACCUUACCAGGGUUUGACAUGCUGGUGGUAGU